ACAAUUAAAUCCAUCACUACAGCAGAAUUAGGUUAUAGGGACACAUGUUUGGGACACUUUUGUUUAAGUGUCCCAUUUAUAUCAAAAUUUUAAAAAAUAUUUACUAAUGUCUAAAUAUAAAGCCGAAUCCAACAAAAAAUAAAAGGUUACUAUACUCAACCCAUCCAACCCAUCCCAUUUGGCUCAAUUCCAAAUAGAAAAGAAAAAAAAAAAAAAUUAAUUAUCAUCUUCCCUUCUCCCCUCAUUCAAUCCACUGAAAUCUUAGACGAAGGGCCCUUCCCUCUCGUCCUCCUCCGCGACCGCAGCAAACGAGGUAGAGUUCUGGCGGUUGCUAGAUGCUUAAAUAAGUGUUGCUAAAUUAGCAGCACUAUUUUAGGUUAUAGCGACAUUCUUUAACUGUCACUAUAUACCUAGCGACCCCACAUAUAGCAACACUUUUUAAAAGUGUUUGUAAUUUAGCAAGCAGCACUUUUUUUGACUUAUACCGACAUUUAAAAGUGUCGCUAUAGACCAUUUUUGUUAUAGUGCAUGGUUCGAAAACAAAUCUAACCAUCUAAAUAAAAGAUGAAAUAAUUUUCUUUU
rnacentral:lncRNA from 1 species